rnacentral:rRNA from 1 species
UGUCAUGCCAAUGGCACUGCUCGGUAGCUAAAUGCGGAAGAGAUAAGUGCUGAAAGCAUCUAAGCACGAAACUUGCCCCGAGAUGAGUUCUCCCUGACUCCUUGAGAGUCCUGAAGGAACGUUGAAGACGACGACGUUGAUAGGCCGGGUGUGUAAGCGCAGCGAUGCGUUGAGCUAACCGGUACUAAUGAACCGUGAGGCUUAACCUUACAACGCCGAAG